rnacentral:rRNA from 1 species
CAAUAGCGUAUAUUAAAGUUGUUGCAGUUAAAACGCUCGUAGUCGGAUUUCGGGGCGGGUCCGCCGGUCUGCCGAUGGGUACGCACUGGCGGGCGCGUCCUUCCUUCCGGAGACUGGCCCUACUCUUAGCUGAGCGGGGUCGGGAGUCGGAUCGUUUACUUUGAAAAAAUCAGAGUGUUUCAAGCAGGCAGCUCGCUCUUGCAUGGAUUAGCAUGGGAUAAUGAAAUAGGACUUUGGUGCUAUUUUGUUGGUUUCGAACACCGAAGUAAUGAUUAACAGGGACAGUCAGGGGCACUCGUAUUCCGCCGAGAGAGGUGAAAUUCUCAGACCAGCGGAAGACGAACCACUGCGAANGNAUUUGGNAGGGAUGUUUNCACUG